GUAAAAAAGAUACUACCGAAAUAGAUGAAGUGGAGUGGAAUCGAAUCAUCGAUUUGCAUUAUCUUUUCGUUCUUGUUGUUGUUGUUCUUCUUCUUAUUCUUUCUUUC
rnacentral:ribozyme from 14 species